CAUUGAUGAAGGUUGUCAUCCUCUAAGCAACUAUUCGGUUAUAGCAAAAGCCAAGUGAGCUGAUGAUUGCUUUUCCCCAAGCAGCCCCUUCGUGCAUUGUAAGAGUCACCAAAGCUUUCACAUUUGUUCAAAUCAACUGAAGGAUUCUUUUCACACAUUGAGGCCAUUCGGUUUUGAGCUUUCACACCUAAAAGGUUGCUCAUUUUUUAGCUGUUCACAUGGAAGGUUAUUGGAGUGCCCAAGCUGCCAUUAAAAGCUCAAGUCUAUUCGAUCGGCUAUUCAAGGCAACCACUUAAAGGCUGUUCACACCUCUUGGCCAAUUAUAUUCAGCUAGAUUCAGCUCCACAUUCACUUCAAUUAAGCCAGGUUGAUCUAGGAAACUAGAAGGGACAUUUUGGGAAGGUUCAAGGAAGUUUCAGCUCAAUUAAGCUGAAUUAAGGCUGUCCAUUUAGUUAUUUCUUGUGUCCAUUCGGCUAGUUAAGAUUUUGAGCUAUAAAUUUGAAGCUCAUUUGUUGUAAUUUAGGCUUUUGACACCUUAUAUGUUUAAUUUAUCUUUUGUGAGUUUAUUCAACUUUCAUUGUUCGUUUAAGACUCAAGUUGACUUAUCUAACUUUGCUAGAGGCGUCUUUCUUGUUUCUUUGUGAACUUAUCACUCUUUAGGUGUGGCGUUCCAAUCCCUAUACCUUUGGUUCCUAUCUCUCAAUAGAUAGUGGGUCAAGGUCUUUCUUAUCAUCUAUCACCUUAAAAGUCAAUAUAAGAUUUGGGUCAAUACUCUUUUUAUAGUAUUGGUUCUUUCUUCGACCUUAAGCUUACAAAUCCAUCCUAAAUUAUCAACUUUAAAAAAAAAAAUCACCUUGUUUUUUCUUACUUAGCCGAAUUCACAUACUUCCCAUAGCUAAACCAUUUGAACCCUUUUGCUUAAAAACCUUUACUUAGCCGAUUUCAACUACCAACCCCAAAUAGAAUGAUACUUCUCUAUUUUACGAUCGGGAAAAAUUCGCAGCUCAAAUCCAAUUACGAGUACGAGGGAGCAACAAAGGGGGAUUUGUUGAAUUUUAAAGAUAUUUCCAAUGGAGGCUAAAUGAGUGAAGUUUGAGUUAGUGUUGAUUGUCAUUGCAGUGGCAAUGGGGGUGCUAGUUUUGAGCCUAAGUCUUGUGGAAGGUGCAUUCGGGAUCCAGUUCAAUCCAUGCACUCUCGUUCAAUGUAUUGUUGAAUGUACAAAGAUUUUGCAUAGAAAUUCCUUAGUGCAACUUGUGCUUCAAGCCCUCAAAGGAAAUACUACAUCUGCUUAGGUUGAUAUAACUUGCUUAGUUCUUACUUAAAUUUUCCAAUUGGAUAUGUAUCUUAUGAUAAAAAAGAAAAGAUAUAAAUAAAAUUUUUAUA